AUGAUUCCUGCAUGUGUGUGCUUGGAUAGUUGACCUCAAGAGAGGCUGCCUCUGUCUUUUUGGGUGCAGUAAAUCUGCUGUGAACUGCUUGUUGACAAGUAUAAUGGUGUAUCAUUAAGAAACAAGUGUUGUAAAGAUCCCAGUUUUUAGGGAUUUCUAGGAAUUGUCUGUGAAAUGAUGGUAACACAGCUUGUGAAUCUUCAGGACGUUCCACUCGAUGGAAGUGGUCUCAUGAGGGCAUUACUGGUCUUUCAGCACUAGAGAAAAUUCUCUGAUUCACUCGGUAUUCUUUUUUAAUUUUUAUUUUUUGUGAUGGCAGAAGAUACAGAAUAAGACUCCCAGACAAAAGCCUUGCUGGCGCGCUUGUCAGAGCUGCCUUAUUUUCUGCAGAUACUCCAGCUGCUGAUUCCAUCUGCUGUCUUCUCUUUUUCUUUCAUUUGUCAGCACCUUAGGGCACUAGCCAUUCCUGUAUGUGUGAUCCCAAAGGACUCCUGCAUAGUAAAACAAACCUUCAGUGCCACAGCAAUGCGUGUAAUAUCUAAACUACUCAGCAGAGAUUUCCAGUAUGUUCCCAACCAUGUCUGAGCUGAUAAAACUUCUAAUUAAUGAAUAAUCAAGGAUAACAAAAAGUUCUUAAAUAUUCUAGUGGAACAUACGAGGGCUGCUUUGAAAGUAACACCACUUGCUUUAUUAUGUUGGCCUGAGAUGUCAGAGGCAGAUGUUGGUGUUAUAGCAGUAUAGGUUGAACCUUCCCACCCAUAUCCUGCUCUAUUUUGUUGCUGUGUGACAGAUGGCAGCAGAGGAGCAGUCUGGCAAAAUGGCGUCUGACAUGGAAUUGCUUAUGGAGCAAAGGUGUAUCAUUGAAAUCCUCCAUGUAGAAAAAAUGGCACCCAUUGGCAUUCGCUGAUGCUUGCUGAACGUUUCUGGAGACCAAGCAGUGGCUGUGAGCACGGUGAGGGGUGAGUGGUGCACCCCAGAAUUGGCGACAGUGACUGUGAGUCACCUCCAUCGGUGCCUAUUUUUAUGAGCACAGCAUGCAGCCUCCUGUUCAUCGAUGAAAAAGAUGCACGACCAAUGGUGGUUACUGUGUUGAAAAAUAGUGUUCUGUAGCUGAGAAUUUGGUCUAUCAAAUACUGUUCUUGUACUUUUCAUAGCUGUUGUCAUUUCCGUGACAAUGUAAAUAGGAGACCUCACUUUCAGAGCGACCUACAUACAUGACAGCUCUGAUUUGUGUGCCAGCCUUCCCUACAGGGCAAUGGAGAGUAUCAGGGAUCGUGGCUGGGGACGCUUGUCUGUGCAUGAUUAUGGUGAAUUCUGAUGUUCUGAGUAAGCUGGUGGACACUGAUCUCUGAAUCACCACGGGUUUUCUUGCCCAACCACAUUUUGCUCCUGGCUCCUCCUCCUGAUCCUCCAGCUGCUCCUCCCAGUCUGGUUUGGCUGCUCUCUCAUUUUUGCAGCCUGCUCCCUUUCCUCACACCUCUUUCUCCUCCCUGCAUCUGCCCUGCAGCUGGAUGGCUUCAUGUUCUGUCAUGCAAGGGUGGGAGCACAACAAAACCUCCACCCAGUGAGUCCACGGCUUUGCUGUGUGCAGCCUCCUGCCAGCAUCUGUGCUGAUGGGUCCCAGGACUGUGAUUUCAUCCUGCAUCCAGCUUUACAGGAUUAGAAUCAUUAUAGUUGAAAAGACCACCAAGAUCAUCUAGUCUAACCAUCAACCUAUCACCACCCUAGCAAUAAACCAUAUCCCUCAGUGUGACCUCUGCUCUUUUCUUAAAAACCUCUGUGGAUUCUUUUAGUCGUUUAUGAUGUCACUGGAUGAAGAGGUGUUGGACCUCCUCAUGAGAUGCUGCACGUUGGUAGGUGUGCUGGUAUUGCUUACAGAAAAAGAGAGCUUUUAUUUUUCUUACGUGCCUUAAUGAUGAACUUCUCUUGCAGUCAAUGAUGUUUGUAUUUAGGAGACUAAAAUCCUCUCUUCUAACUGACAUAUUUUGCAUAUAAAAACUGAUAAGUGAUGGAAAGAUGGAAUACAGAAAAACUCAAGUACUUCAUGUUUGGUGGACUAUACCAUGUGAUUUCAAAAUUUCUAGAAGUGAAAAGAAUGCAAAUUCUAUUAUAAAGACUGCACAAGGGCACUCAGUUUUGGAGCAGCAGCAUUGGAAGUGUCAGGACUGCCUUGGGCCACGCAGUCUCCCCGGAGGAUGUGCUGCUGAGGUGGAGACAGGCCUGAGGGCAAUACAGACAAUGAAUAUGUUAAUUAGUUAUUAGGAGAAGGCGGAGCUUUGUUUAAAAAAAGACCCUGGAGAUCUCAGGGAAGUCAUUGUCCUAGUGGGCUCUGCUCUUCUAUGAAGAAUGCUCUGGUGAGCCGUGGCCAAGCUGGCUGCUCUCCAUGGGCUCUCCCAGCAAGCUGUAGGAGGAGGCAGGAGGACUGACAGAAGCCUGGUGCAGACAAACUGCAAGCACAUUAAUUAUUGAUUGUGUUAGUUGAUGAGUUGUGCUGAAUUGAUCUGGUACAAGAUAAUGUGAAUUAAAAGCUGCUUAAAUAUUUAAUUCAGGGCUUUUUGGCUACGGCAGGCAUUUGAAUGAAAGAUAACGUGCGAUUCAUGACUGGAAUCGGCUUCUCAAUAAAGACAAGCUAUUAGAAUGAGAGGUACUAUCUAAAUGUAAAUUAUGAUUUAUUAGAGGGGAAAUCUCUUGUGUGUAAAAUUUUAAUGAAAGAUUAGAAAGCUUUCUAGAUUGAAUUAUCUAAAUAUAUGAUAGCCAUUUUCAAGUUAUUCGUUCAAUCGUGGCAACACUAACACCGAAGGCUGGUAUGCCUCCCUGGUUGGCUUAGGUGCUGCAGCUCCCAGGAAAUUUCUGCCUGGUUUCUCCCAGCCUCUCCACAGAGACGUCCUCAAUGCAAAGCAGACCCGAUCCUGAUGCAAAAAUGUUUUCUAUUUCAGCUUUUAGGGCAUACAGGCUUCAAUGAGAGUAGCAGGCUGCUGCCUGCUGCAGUUUCUGCCUCCCCUUCUAUCUUGCUUCAUUCCUCCAUGUACCGGAGAAGGCUUUGGCAGCUGGGGGUGUUAGCCUCAUUUUUCUCACCCUUCAGAAAAGCUGUCCUCUGUUCAACGUGCGCAUUCCUUCCUCCAGAGCCAUUUUCCUCCGUGGGCUCUCUGGGCUGGCCAGCGGCCAAACAGUAGGGUGAGCUGCAUGAGAAGGCCUUGAUCACUGGCUGUCUUACAAUUUUUCACUUGUAUUCAAGAUGCAGAUGGAUGUCAUUAGAAAGGUUUUUACUUUGAAUGUGCACAGCUUGUCCACAUGCCUGAGCUUAGAGCUCAGUACUUGUCUAGUACUUAUAUAUGUGCUUUUCAUCCUCAAAAGGGCUCUGCAAGCUCGAGUCCUCAGAACAGUUCUGUGGGUGAGGUGUGCAUUUUGUAAUGAGCUUCAUUAACAAGGAGGAACGCAGGUCAGUGUUUCUUUCAAAGAUACGUUGUGCAGUGAGCGUUAUAAAGGAAGAAAAUCCUUACACUUCCCUGAUGGUGUUCUCUGAUGUUCUGUCUGAAAAUCACAUGGUUUCACCAUGGAAGCAUGUCUCUCCAUAUGGAAGAUGUGAUUAGUGGCAUCAAAAAUUAAGAUGUGUCUCAGGUUACAGUAGUACUAGGUAAAUAUAUAGCAUUUCUAAAAGUUGUGAGGCCAGGUUUCCUACUGUACUCAGCUUCAAUUAACGCAGAAGAGCAGGAGCCAAAGGGCAUCGUCAAAGAGACCCACGUCUGAUGGAAGAUCAGGAGCUUCUUCACAUCAUACUUCUAAACAGAGGGAAAUGAUGUUAUGAAGAGGGAUAAAAAUUGCUCGUCUUCACAGUUGAAAGGACAAGGCAGGAUUAAUUUUUUUUUUCCAUUUGAACUGUAGGAUUAAAAUUCAAGUAGCUACAGUAACAGCAACAGCCCCAGUGUGAACUCAGCUCUAUCAAAAGUUUUUGUAAUGUUGCAUCUCAUCUAAGCGAGGGGGCUGGAAUAAUCUAUAGCUAUGGCAGGCAUUUUUGAAAUUUAGCUUUCUGUCUGAGUUGUUACUGGCAUGACUACUUUGGCAUGCUUUACCUUGCACAGGCGAGCCAGUAAAUGCUUCAAGUGUCAUCCAGCAGGAAAAAUCUGGCUAGGGAUGAGAUCAUAUUGUGAGAUAUGGUUCCUAAACUAGAUCAGUGAGCUGUGGAAGAGGGUUUAAUAACCAGCAUUAGGGGUUUUUGCACCCUCUGUGUGCCUCAGAGCAUGCAUAGGUAUCUGGAGGACAUAGGUUUAGAAAUCAGUAGCUACCUUAUCCCAAUAAGGAAUUCUUAAUAAGAGAUGGAGUGGCACUUGUUCUGAAUAAACAAGCAGGAGACUGUAAGAAAAAGGAUCUGCUUUAUAGACCUGCACCUCCUUCAUGCUUUCUGGGUAAAUAGACCGAGAAUAGCCUGUCUACUUGAAGUCAUAAGAAGGAUGAGUUAAAGAUAGAUAAGUUAAAGCAAGCAUUUAUUUUAAUAUUGCUCCAGUUUCCCUCUUUUAAAAACGUAAUUAUGUCCAGUCACAACAGGACUCUGCAUCUUCUCAGAAAGAUGUUGAGAACUAGUUAAUGAGCAAGCUUGAGUGGCAGAGAUGCUCACCUUCACCUGCUGCAUACAGCAGGGUGGAGAAGUGGAACGGAGUAAACUAAUCAUGUUUUUUUAACCCCAAAAGGUUCUUUUUUAAGAGAAUUCUGUGUUCAGGUAUUAUCUUCCUCUUGCUGCUCUGGGGAGGGUAUCUGGCCCCAGAAAUUACUCUGGAGAAAUAGGAAAUGCAACUUAUUUUCUGGUUUUCUAAACAUUAUGCAGUUUCAGAUGAAUUCAUGGGAAUGAUGGGCAGAAAAAGUCUUAGAGAAUUGCUGUGUGAUGAAUUACAAGUUAUCGCUUUUUUAUGGAUUCCACGUCCACAGCCUUUAAUGUUGGCUACCCUACUCUGCUUAAUGAUUUUUAAGUGAGUACAUCUGGGCCAAUUUAGCAUUUUCAUUUGCCCUUAAAUGUUGCAAAUGCCUGCUAGAGUUGGAAGACUGUGAUUUAAGCUCAAACAUCUGGGGAACAGAAAUGCUCUACCAGGCCUAUUCAGUCCUAUGUUGUUUUGAUGACAAAAUGCACGUAUGCUCAUUGCAAAACCGUUUGAGUUUUAAAUUGGUGCCUUAAAGCUAUGCAGUGCUCUGGAUGCACCCAGCAGUUCUAUUCCUCUUUAAAUCUCAUCAUAACCAAGAGUUACAAGCACUGCGGUGUGAGUUCACUUUACCUGUGGACCACUGCCCUUUAUUAUUUCCCACAAGACUGUCUUUGGAAGCAUCAGCAUUAGCUCCCACUAAAUGAAAUGCAGCUCGACUCCUGCCUACAUCGGUCUUUCAGGAUCUAACCACAGUAGAGAAAUACUUUCCCUUGCUUCAGCGUUGCCCUCCGAGUUAAAAUUAGCUGAGUAUCUGCAUCGUUCCUGCUGGUAUCAAAAAAAUGUGUAAUGCUACUGCUUGAAGGGCCCCUCUUUGCAUUUUGGAGACGUGCUGAUGUGUGUUUUAACCUAUUGUAUUUGCAUUGCCCAGGAGUAUCAGCCUGCUGUCUGGCUCACGUUCACGUGUGUGGAGAGUGGGAUCCUUACUAAAAUUGUGUCAGUGAGGAGCAGAGGUUAAGAGUGAUAAGUAGUUCAAAGAAAGUCUAUUUGCAUGCAACAAAAUAUCUGUGUGAAUACUUAACUUCAGGAGGGCUGGUGCUAUUUCUGAAGCGCAAAGGACCAAGGCAAAUAAAUGGAAGAUGAAAUUUUCUCUUGUACUUCAUUUCUUUUCCUCCACGGUAAGAAGAUUCUGCUUUAUCCUGAAUGCAAGAGUAAUGCUAAGGCUUCAGGCAAAACUAUAAGCUACUUGCAUCCAUGGAAUGAAGUUGCAGAGCUAGCUUCAACCUGGGGACUUAUCAUUUCAUGAGCUGUUGCGUUGCUAACGAGACACAGACGUUGCCGUUGGACAAACAAGGGCAAGAUUGUUUCUCUGUUUGUUCUGCAGCCCUUCUCAGCCGCACUGCUGAGCAUGACUUAGAGAGAACUCUCUUUCUGGGAGGUUCAAACAGUUCAGUAUUUUUCGCUGGAGGUGAAAGGGGGCAUAGCCACCCUCUGUUGCAACAUUAUGGAAGUUCCCAGCAACCCCAACAUGAACCAGAGCCAAGGAGCAGAUCCUGAGCUGUUUUAAACAGGCAGGAACCAGCUGAUCUCCUUGAAAUACAUGGGUUUUCAUUAGCUGAGGACCUGGAGAAAGGGUCCACCUGUGCCCUACCUCACACGGAUGGGAUUGAAAACACACUGGAUUCCAGCCUCCACCCUGCAGCAUUUUAAGAGGAGGACACUCCUGAGGAAAUAUAUUGGUUUAAAAACAGAAGACUGAAAUGUAAGUUUGAACUUGAAUUUGUCCAGUGAUGAACACGAUGAGAAGGCGAAGGGAAAUCCUGAAGACCACUCUUCAAGUGGAGGAAGCAGGACAGAAGACUCAUAAGCAUGUCCUAACAGCACUUCCAUGACUGAGAGAUGAUGGACACACCUGCAAUGUGAUCACAAGGGUGCAUGAAGCUUGCGUGAGCCUAUCUGAGCUUACUUCAGAAAUUCAGGCUUGACCUCUGAGAGUUCAUGCUAAUAUGUCUGGUGUUCAUUCAGUAUCCGGCAUAAUGGUCCGUGAUCCAUCGCUGUGCUCCCAAGGUGUUCCUGCAAGACAGAUUUCAGCCACCUUUCCCUUUGUUUAGGUUCCUUUACCUGUGAAUCUGAAUGCUGUGUGGACUGUGAAUUCCUCUCAGGAGACACUGUAAGUAUUUGGACUGCUAAUCUGUGCAGGUCCCUGAGCUACCUCUGCUAGGAUUAAGCUCACUAGUUAAAGCUGCUUUAGAUGGGUGCAGCUACAGAAAAGAUGAAUGAUAAAUAUUCCCAAAUGUAACCAAACAAACUGGCAAACUCAGAAUAAAUAUAUGAAAUACAUCAUAGUAGUAGCAAACUGUCCUUGUUAGUCUCAAGAGGGAUAGAUUUUGUUUAGAGCCGCAGACCAGGCUGUGUUGUACAGCAUUUUGGAUUUUAUGCUGCCUUACAAGUGCAGAAGGACAAUAAAGCAAUGGUAAAUGUUCAAAAAUUACUUUAGCAUGGACUGUGUUAACUCCCUGAUAUCUUUCUAUCCUACACCACAGGCAUACAGGGUAGCGGCUAUAUACUGUGCUCGUGCACUGGUGAUGUCUGGAUGAAAAUGAGACAUGUAGCUAUGGGAUGUUGUAAAAAAACAAAACAAAAAAAAACAACAUCAGCCAUUCUUUUCAUGUUGUGAAAGAUGAUACAAAAUGGAGUUGGCAAUGGUAGUAAUCCCAUCUAUGUAUAAACCUCUAAAGAACAGGAACAGCAUUCUAGGAAAUGUUGUCAUCCCAAAAAUCCAAGCACAGAAGAUAAACCUGUUCAAAGGAGCCUGGUCUUCCCCUGGUAGUAGAGAUCAGCCAUCCUUGACUUAAAAUCCAAUAAAAUUGGAUUCUACUCAGUCCAAUAGGAACAGCUCUCGUUCUCAGUGUCAGGCAUGGAGUGGUCCAUCAGAUGGACACCUUUGCAUUCCAUCUACACAAAUGGUUAUGAAAGGAACUUCUUAGGACUGUAGAGAAGCUGCCAGGUGUAAGAUGGGAAGGAAACGGGAAGUUCUGCAUACCAGAACUCAUCCGUGUGAAUUUGCUAUAGCUGCCACACAGUCUUCAGAUGAUAAAAGAAAAUUUAAGAAAAUAAGACAAUUUACCCAGAGAAAGAAGAUGAAAGGAUAUCCAUGGGUUUGUAUCCUCACUGAUGGUACAUAUCUUACUGAAAUUAUAUGGUGUGUAUACAUUUAUAUAUUUACAUAUAUAUGCUGUAUGUAUAUUUAACUAAAAAAGAAAUGCAAAAGGAAUGGCAAUCCUGAUACACGUGUGUACUGCAAAACACUGAUCUACUGUUUAAGACAGAAAAUGGGAAAGAAUGAACGUGAAGGCUGCAAAAACAUAUGUGACAUUGUAAAUUGUACCUCACCAAUGUUUGCAUGACAAGCAGGGCUUAGCCUAAAUGAUUAUUUGGUAUUUUUUCCUAUUCAGAUGCAAGAGCUACUACAAUAUUGGCAAAAAACCAAACAUCAUGCAGGGCAGACUCGUAUCCACCAUAGAGAACACAAAAAAUGAGAAGCAUUUACAUAAUACUGUGUUGCUUACAGAAAGCUAAAGAAAGUAAGCAGGUACAACAUGUUCUUAAAUGCUUCUGAAAAAGUGUUGAAUGUAUCUGAAUGUAAUUUUCUAGCUUUCAUUCCUUGUCAUGUCUAACAAGUCUGUGGCAUGUGAUGGGCCUCUGACAUACACUGAUAGCCAUCAAGGUUUGUUACGCGAAUCAGAGCAGAAUCAGAGCACCCAAAAUCGCGUCAGCUGAGGCUGAGUAUCAUUGUGAAUCACAGGUACUCUACUAGCAGAUAGCACAACAGAAAUUAAUCGCAGUGAAACACUUCACUUUAUGCUGUUAAAGGUAAUAGGUCUGGAAUUAAAACUAAUUGCAUAUUAAAAUGGAGUGGGUAGCUAUGUUUUGAUUUAGAGAUAGGAACACGUCAGGCAAGCUCGUCUGUAACAGGAGAUAUUCAGUGCCCUGAAGUGAUGAAGGAGAAGAGCCCAGGAGAGCAUUCCUUGCAUUCCUGUGGCACUCAGCAUAUACAUAUGCCCCACAAAAAAAGGAAAUCUUAGCGCUCUGGGUUGGUAAGGUGAGCUCCAGAAAAGCUGGCACUUUCAUGUAGCUGCAGGCUUGGCUAAUUUGAAGAAAUGAUACUCUCUGAUGAUGAAUAUGAGGAAUAUUUAAAACUGCUAUUUAUUUAUUUUUGUUUUUCAGGGCAAAGGGCAUUAUAUUUUCAGUCUGUUAGUUAAAAAGUGAAUUAAGAACUACUAGUUAGCAACCACUAGCAAAAUAUGGCUGGGAUGUGGAGCUCUAUUUAAGUCCUGUGGUCUGCCCAGAAUGAUCAGUAUUAGGUGCAACAGUAUUUUGCUGACGUGUGUGAGUAGGAUUAGCACAAAGAGUUAUCUUUGUCGAUGAACUACAUUUCAAGAGGUUUAAAAGAAUACUGUUUGAAGACAUGGCCAGUAGGAGGGUCAUCUGUGUCUAAAUGUGUAAGA